UAAGACCCAAAUUUCGAGCGCUCUCUCUCUCUCUCUCUCAGAGCGAUUUUGAAGCUCCACCGCUUGUUCAUUCUCAGAGCGAGGUAGCGAGCACCAACGAAAGUGAGCUCCAUUGUCUCUCUCCCUCUCUCUCUCUCUCUCUCAACCCUCUCUAAACCCUCACCAGAGCGAUUCAUAGAAUCAUCUCAGAGAUUUCAUCGCAGAGAUUCAGAGGGAUUUCAUCGCAGAGAUUCAGAUCGUCUCCACCAUCGUCUGCUAAGUGCUGCCGUCGUUGCCAUUGCCGCCGGAGUAUCCAGAUUUGUAUGGGAAGCGGAGGGAGCUUGCUAAGGUUCAGAUAUUGGAGAGAGAGCGAUUACUUUUCUUGAGAUAACACAACAGCACAUCAUGACUUUUAAUUCCUGGUUUUAAAUUUUUAUCUUUGGGACAUCACAUCUUGCAUCUGCAGUAGGCUUAUCUGUUGGUUUGCCAUUAUGCUGGUGAUGUCACCUAUCAAACUGAAUUUUUUCUAGACAAAAACAAAGAUUAUGUUAUUGCCGAACAUCAAGCACUCUUGAGUGCUUCCAAAUGUUCCUUUGUGUCGGGUUUGUUUCCACUUUCAUCUGAGGAGUCCUCUAACAAUCAAAGUUCUCUUCAAUAGGUUCACGGUUCAAGCAACAAUUGCAACAAUUGCUUGAAACUCUUGAGUUCGACUGAGCCUCGUUAUAUUCGCUGUGUGAAGCCCAAUAAUCUUCUUAAGCCAGCUAUUUUUGAGAAUAGUAAUGUUCUACAACAACUGCAUUGUGGGGUAAGUAAGGGUAACUUUUACAUGGUGUUGGAAACGAAGUUGGCUGCCUUCUUUUUUCGUCCCCCUCAUAACUCUUGCUGAUAAUGCUCGAGUUAGGGAAAGACUGGAGGAUAUUGAAAGGGACCAACGUGAAUAUACAUUAGACGAUGAGGACAAGAAGGUUCAAGACGUAAUUCUUAAACCAGACCCUUCAAAAAAUGACAUUAUGUGGUUGAAGAAAACUCUUUCUUGUUCCUACCCAAACUUGCCUUUUAAUGAGGCACUUCAAAAAGAAAAUGAAAAGCUUCAGUUAGAACUACAACGUUCACAAGCCAAUUUGGAUGUGGGUGAGUGUGAAGAAUUCAACAUCUGCUUGAUGUCACAGACGCUGAUGCCGUAAAUUCUGUAUCUGAGAAGAGUUCACCCAUGAGAAUUUCCAAAAAGGUGGAGCAGAAUUAUUCGGAUGUUAAUAGUGAAAAGAAGCAUUCAUAUGAUGAAAGCUACACUAAGCAAAGUGAGACUCACUCAACUUCAAGGACAACUUGCUCGGGAAGUUUACGAGAACAUUAGGAGAUAAGCUUCUUGUCUGAGAAUUCAGAGAGAUUUUCGCAUGCAUCUUGCUAGGAAAGCUUAUAAAGAAUUGUGCUUUUUUGCUGUUUCUAUUCAGGCUGGUAUGCGUGGAAUGGUUGCACGUGAUGAGCUUUGCUUCAGAAGGCAGAUUGCUUUUUAUGGAAAGCUUUCAUUGCUGUAUUCUCUUAGACUACUUGACUACAUGAAUUGUGCAUUUGGAUGUAUUAGUAGGAACUCCAACAAUUUCUUUUACACUGCUUCUGUUCAACUAAGUUCUUUAAAAUAACCAUAUUAUAACCUUUUAUAAUAAUGUUUUUCUUUUGGAGAGCA